rnacentral:ncRNA from 1 species
AACGACGGUUGAAACUUCCAGGAAAAAACUUCGAAUUGGGAGGGUGAUCCUCCCGGUGAACUGGCCGUACCCCAAACUGACACAGGUGAACAAGUAGAGUAUACUAGGGCGCGUCGAGAGAACCAUGUCGAAGGAACUCGGCAAAAUGACCCUGUAACUUCGGGAGAAGGGGUGCUCUCCUAUCUUUUUAUUAGGAAAGCGGCACAUACUAGGGGGUAGCGACUGUUUAUUAAAAACACAUGACUAUGCUAAGUGGUAACACGAUGUAGAGUCUGAUAUCUGCCCGGUGCUGGAAGGUCAGAAGGAGAAGUGUGAUAAGCUCUGAAUGGAAGCCCUGGUAAACGGCGACAGUAACUCUAACUCUCUUAAUGUAGCAAAAUUCCUUGUGGCAUAAGUAGCAACCUGCACGAAUGGUGUAACGAUUGCCCCACUGUCUCCAACACGGACCCGGUGAAA